UUAGCCGAAAAUUGUAUGGAGUUGGAACGUUUGUCUACGUUUGCCGCUAGGGGCGCUGUUCCAACUCCAUACAAAUCUGAGUUA
rnacentral:pre_miRNA from 1 species